GUGCUAAUUUUGGCAGUACAUACACUAAAAUUAGAACAAUACACAGAAGAUUAACAUGGCCCCUGUACAAGGAUGACACAUGAAAACAGUCUCACUCUGUU
rnacentral:snRNA from 1 species